rnacentral:lncRNA from 1 species
AUUUUGUUAUAAUUAAUGAUUUCUCAAAAUUUACUUGGGUUUUAUUUUUAUCACACAAAGAUGAAGCUUUUGAUAUCUUUGUCGAUUUAUUUAACAAAAUAACAAAAGAAAAAGAUUGUUGUGUUUUGAAUAUAAGAAGUGAUCAUGACAUCAAAUUUAAAAAUUAUAAAUUUAAAAAUUUUUAUUCUAAAAAUAAAAUUAAUCAUAAUUUUUCAGCACC